rnacentral:rRNA from 1 species
GACGAACGCUGGCGGCGGGCUUAACACAUGCAAGUCGAACGAAGUGGCGCACGGGUGAGUAACGCGUAAUCAACCUGCCCUUCAGAGGGGGACAACAGUUGGAAACGACUGCUAAUACCGCAUACUGACGGAGGGGAUUGCGGUUGAUUAGCUAGUUGGAGGGGUAACGGCCCACCAAGGCGAUGAUCAGUAGCCGGGCUGAGAGGAUGAACGGCCACAUUGGGACUGAGACACGGCCCAGACUCCGACGUGAGGCAGCAGUGGGGAAUCUUGGACAAUGUACCAAAGUAUGAUGCAGCAAUGCUGUGUGCACGAUGAAGUUUUUCGGAAUGUAAAGUGCUUUCAGUUGGGAAGCGGUACCAACAGAAGAAGUGACGGCUAAAUACGUGCCAGCAGCCGCGGUAAUAC